GCUCAGUUGGUAGAGCAUGGUGUUUGCAACACCAGGGUUGUGGGUUCGAUUCCCAC
rfam:Salmo salar isolate Sally breed double haploid chromosome ssa29, whole genome shotgun sequence.